CGAGCCGCCAUUGUGUGUUUUGAUUGGUCUAAAGGCGCGUCAAUUAGCCUCGAAGGCCCCGCCCACUCUCACGCUGAGGCGAUAGAGGCCAGCGGCGCCGUCGCGUUCCUUUGAAAGUGCAAGGAACUUCGCCAAUAUGGAGUUGCGAAAGGGAUUUUUCAGCUAUAUAGUUAUAGUUUUCAGCUAUAAAGUGUUGAGAUGCCAGAACUUUCUAAAGCUGCUGAUGAUGGAGACGUUGUUCAGUGACAGACGAAGUUAUAGGUUCGGCACUGAAAACUGCACGUAUUUAAGGAGUUUUUGUUUCAGCGGGUAAACAAAAGUUUGUAAAUUGCAAAAGCAAAGUAUAUAACUAUAUCAAUUGCAUUAGUGUAGAAGUAUAUACGGGCUCAUUGUUGUAUUGGUGCCUGAAAUGGGGUACCCUAACUUUGGUCAUACGCACUCAAUAGUAUUUCUUUGGUGACUGGAAUUUUUAAUCUUAAAAAACCACUCGCUUCUCAAUUACGUGGUUAUACUCACAAAUGAUGAAUAAAUAUGAGAACAGUAAUUCUGAUAAUACUGCAGAAGGUCCCUGGCUUGGUGCCUAAUGAACGUACUAAGGGUGAUAAAAGUGGCAAAAAGCCGGUUAUUUUUCCUAUUUCUGAGGUAAAACCUUUGAACAACAUGAAUAAUCCAUUUUAAACUCCUUAUCUGCAAGAUUAUAUCUACAUUCUUUCUCUUAAUAGUUACAAAGAAUAGUCUAACUUGUAAUUUCAAGUAGACAAUUGCUUUAUCUAGUGUGUGUUAUUAUGGAGUAAAGGGUUAAAUCUCACAAAUUUGGGUCUGUACUAUACAGGGAAUAUCAUUACUUCUAUUUCUUUUCUCCGGAAUUAAUAACAGCGAACUCCUUUUUUUUUUUUUCUGCUUCACUCUUUAUUGGGACAUUUCUGUCAUGUCUUGAAGCCUCGUAAUCUUUUCUGCUUCAACGUGAUAAACCAACAUUACAAAGAAGAGCAAGGAAAAUAAUUUAUGUUUCUCAUAUUUUUAUAUAAAAUAUACAUGAGCAGACUACACCUACCAGGCCUAGAUUUAAUAUUAGGAUUGCCCACAUGAUGUUUUUUUAUAUCAGUAAUUACUAUUGCAGUUUGCUUAACCAGCAAACUGGGGGAAAUGUGAACAUUUUCAUGAACAGUUAAUGUUUGCUUUCCCUUUAAAGUUUAACACUUCAGAUUUUAAACAGGCCAACAAGUUUGUCUAAACUCACUGGUCACAAAUCUGUUUCAAAUUAACUUUAAAAAACUUCUUCUCUUUUCUUUCCUAUGAACUCUUCUUAUUAUGUGCUAGAGGAAAGCAUAUGUGUGCAUAUACCUAUGUGUAUGCCUGCAUAAAAAGUAAACAAACAAGAAGAGAUUAAAUAUUGGCUAAGAAAAUAUGCAAACCCCAAACCAAAACCCAGGAGAGAGCGGGUGGCAACACCAGUGGCAUCUAUUGCAAACAGAAUUGGCACUUCAGCUUAACUAAAACCAAGUAACUGCAUUUCAUAAGAAAGGUCACAUGCAAAGCUCAGUGUGACACAAGUACUUUUGUCUCUCAUCUUGCUCUAAUUUUAUGUCUUUUCAGGAAAAAAAGCAGUGAAUGCUUUUUGGUUUGAAUUCCACAGGUAUAUGGCUUCAUUUAUUUCCUUUUUCCCCCCUCUCCUGUCUUGGUAUUUGUUUCCUGCGGCACAUUAAUUUGCCUCCUGUUAUAUAUCUGCAUUAAGUAAACAAACUUCAAACAAUUCCAAAUUAAUCAUCUUUAUUUACCUGGGGAGACUGGUUCUCUGCUGCCACAUGACUUUCUGAGGCAUGAUCCAAACCACACUUCUCCCUUAAUUAACUUUUGGGGAGAUUAAAAGACAGAGUGCUUAGCAUUUGUGUUUUGUUGUCUUUAAAGUGAGUUUACACACAAACUACAAGGUCAGUGUCACACACGAUUGUGCUGUAAAUAAAGUUUACACAUAGCUCAGUGAUUUAUACCCAAGGGGAGGAUCUAGACUUAGUGAGUAGCAGGUCAGUAGUGCCUCUUGAUUUGCUAAUUAAUUCCACAGGCACCCCAAGCUUUCAUCCUACAUCUAUCAGCCCUCUCUGGCUGCCUUGGUCCCUACUUCCUCUGUGAUUAAAUCAGAGUUACAAAUGUUCCCAAGCUCCCUACAUCAUCUGUACACUCUGAGUGCCUCUACAGCAGAGCCAGAGCAUUUAACUCCAGCACAGAGGAUGGGGAACUUGAUGACUUAAAAAUAAGAGAUCAGAAAAGAGAAGCGCAAGAGACCGCAUGCUCACUCCUUAAUUAAACUGAUUAUUGAUGAGAACACUUAUCACAGGACUGGGAGGCUUACAGACCCUUCUGCUAAAGAUGUUCAAACUUGUAUCUUUCAGAGGAUCCAAAUUACGCAUCUAGAGGUGAGGCUUGGAUACAUUUUGUACCCUGAGCCACGAGAAAUAAAGUCAGGAAAACAUAAAAACUCUGGUUCAGGCUCACAUAAUAAAAAUAAAAUUUAUAUUACUGAGUAUAUUUUCAGUCACAAAACAAAUUCAGCUACUGCAUGUGGACCUGUUAUGAAAUAAUAUAAUUAAUCUCUUCUCAAGACCUGAAAUUCUAAUUUGCCUUGAUAAAUAUCCAAUAUUUAUGUAUUUGUAGUACCUCGGGAACCUUUUCCACUCAUCCUUCUGCUGUCAUGCCUGAUGUAAACAUCAGGGCACAGAAAAAGCAUGGAAAGAGCAACAAAGAAUAACAACAUGCCAGAGAAUUGAGGGGUAGGUAUGGCAGCUACAGACAGAAGUAGGUUGCUAUUCUGUUUUAGAAAAAAACCAGAGAUCUAUGAACAGAAACAACAAAUUCAUGCCCAUUUUAAUGCAAUAAAUUUAAUUCUAUCUGUGCUAAUGCCCAACUCACAUCCAGGGCAAUUUUAUAUCUCCAGCUGGCAAUUACACAACCACGAAGUUCAUGCUGUGAAAGGUCAGCCAACCUCUGGGUGACAUGUGCUGAGGUGUUGGACACCGUCUGUGGUGAGCAGAGGAGAUGGAAUAAGAGAUAGGUAAUGAUAAACUGAGGAUCUCUGUCUCUGUAAGAUAGGUCUGGACACAUUUUACAGCUGUGAUGGUAAGGUUAUCACUCAGCAACUUGCAUUGUACAUAGCCUUUUUAAUUUUGUGUUUUCAGUCAUCAGAUCUAAUAGAAAACAUGGAAAACACUGAAAUAUAUCUUCAGAAGAGGUGGGCUUUAAGAGAUCACUGAGGGGACAAAAAGGAGCAUUGUCUAAAGCAUCUACUCAGUGGCAGUCCAUAAAACCUAAAUUUUGGAACCUGAUUUUGCCCAUUAAAGCUUUAUUCUGCAUAAGAGAAGAUUUAAAGUGGUGAUUUCUAAAUUUCCUUGUGAACGUGGCAUCAUGGUGUUGACUGGAAAAUAAAAUAUCAUCAUAGGGGGCUUAUGGGGAAAAAUCAACAGCAACAACAGCCAGUGGAAUGGCAGCAAACCAGAUGGAUUUGUGGUAACCACAGCAAAUACGGAUUCUGGGAAACAAGGAAAGGCAAACAAGCGGAUUUGUGAGGAGACAUCUAAGGAUGGAAAAGCGGCAAAAAGUAAACCACCUGCUUAAACAUCUUCAUUCUGACAACAUGAAAGGCUACAGAAAAUCCUGAGGUUAGUGGGAUAUUAGAUAAAUAUAAAAUAAGUCUUCCAGCUUGGACUAAUCAAUCCAGCCCAGUGCCUGCCAUCUGGCCAGGAGUUUGCUGGUGCCCCUUGCCCCAGCUGUCAGCAUUUGAGUUGCUUGUUCCUGUCAUUGCCUAAAAGGAAUUAGUUCCAGAUCAUUAUGGGUUGCAAAGAUGGCCAUUGUUUUGUUUAACAUUUACACAACUGCCAGAGACCUGCUUCUGAAUUAAAGUCCUGGACAAGCCCUUGGCUGUUUUGACCACAGGUAGGUGCAUGGAAAACAAAUGGUGGAUUUUUUCCUUCUCUUCUGUACAUUUGACCUCGUUUUUCUGUUUACAGAAAAUUGAUUGCCUCAAAUAGGUAAGUUGGAAUUAUGGAAGCUCAAAAUUAAAAAAAACCAAAACAACAACACAAAAUAAUUCCAUAAUUACAGUGUCUUUAGUUAAACAUUAAAUCCAUUUUAAUGCAUCCUAAAGACUGACAGCUUUUUAUGUGUUUGAAGAGAUGUGUUUCUAAAAUGUUCAUCUUCUUUACAAAAGUGGCUAAAAUAAUUAUUUUGACCUAUCAUGGAAACUGUAACAAAUUAUUAGUGUGUUUUGGGUUUCUUUUUUCCCUGGCUGUUGAUGCUAAGCUGCCAGGUUAAUUGAUAUGUUUCUUUCCAGUUCCUAAUUGCUACCUGCACCCUGGCUGGACGUUUCCAAGAUAUUUAAAAGAGGUUUACAAGCCCUUUACACUGCCAAGAAACUUAUGAUGUAGGGAUAAAAAUGAAAUGCAGAUCAUAACUUCCAAACCACCAAACUCAUAAACUCUCCUGCACAGAUCUGCAGGGAUCUAUCAGCAUUCCUACCCAGCUUUGGUUGCAUUUCCUAUUUUCCUUGGAUUGUGGGCAGUGGUUGAACAGCACAAUUGGGUCUUGACCUGUAACAUGGACUUCCAAACAAUUUUAAGAGCAAUACACAUUUUUUCACUUUGUUUUUUCAAUACUUUUGGUCUAAAAAUAUUUGAUAAUUUUUUACAGCUACAAGAAAGAGCACUACAUUGUAUUAAGUAUGGAAAUUUGGCCUAGUUUUGAUCACCAGCUACUUGUGACUCCCCCAGGGUAAAAAUAACUGAUUUUCAGUAGUCCUCUGGUUAUCAUAUUUUUUGAGAAGGCUAUUUUUUUUUUCCUUUUCUUUUGCUGUUAGUAUG